rnacentral:rRNA from 1 species
AGUGAACGCUGGCGGCAGGCCUAACACAUGCAAGUCGAACGGCAGCACAGUAAGAGCUUGCUCUUAUGGGUGGCGAGUGGCGGACGGGUGAGGAAUACAUCGGAAUCUACUUUUUCGUGGGGGAUAACGUAGGGAAACUUACGCUAAUACCGCAUACGACCUUCGGGUGAAAGCAGGGGACCUUCGGGCCUUGCGCGAUUAAAUGAGCCGAUGUCGGAUUAGCUAGUUGGCGGGGUAAAGGCCCACCAAGGCGACGAUCCGUAGCUGGUCUGAGAGGAUGAUCAGCCAAACUGGAACUGAGACACGGUCCAGACUCCUACGGGAGGCAGCAGUGGGGAAUAUUGGACAAUGGGCGCAAGCCUGAUCCAGCCAUGCCGCGUGGGUGAAGAAGGCCUUCGGGUUGUAAAGCCCUUUUGUUGGGAAAGAAAAGCAGUCGGCUAAUACCCGAUUGUUCUGACGGUACCCAAAGAAUAAGCACCGGCUAACUUCGCGCCAGCCGCCGCAGUAACAC